rnacentral:rRNA from 1 species
GGUUGAGUGGCAGCGUUGUCCGGAUUUAUUGGGCGUAAGCGAGCGCAGGCGGAAUGAUAAGUCUGAUGUGAAGCCCACGGCUCAACCGUGGAACUGCAUCGGAACUGUCAUUCUUGAGUGCAGAAGAGGAGAGUGGAAUUCCAUGUGUAGCGGUGGAAUGCGUAGAUAUAUGGAAGAACACCAGUGGCGAAGGCGGCUCUCUGGUCUGCAACUGACGCUGAGGCUCGAAAGCAUGGGUAGCGAACAGGAUUAGAUACCCUGGUAGUCCAUGCCGUAAACGAUGAGCGCUAGGUGUUGGGGACUUUCCGGUCCUCAGUGCCGCAGCAAACGCAUUAAGCGCUCCGCCUGGGGAGUACGACCGCAAGGUUGAAACUCAAAGGAAUUGACGGGGGCCCGCACAAGCGGUGGAGCAUGUGGUUUAAUUCGAAGCAACGCGAAGAACCUUACCAGGUCUUGACAUCCUGUGCUACACCUAGAGAUAGGUGGUUCCCUUCGGGGACGCAGAGACAGGUGGUGCAUGGCUGUCGUCAGCUCGUGUCGUGAGAUGUUGGGUUAAGUCCCGCAACGAGCGCAACCCUUGUCUUUAGUUGCCAUCAUUAAGUUGGGCACUCUAAAGAGACUGCCGGUGACAAACCGGAGGAAGGUGGGGAUGACGUCAAGUCAUCAUGCCCCUUAUGACCUGGGCUACACACGUGCUACAAUGGGCAGUACAACGAGAAGCGAACCCGCGAGGGUAAGCGGAUCUCUUAAAGCUGUUCUCAGUUCGGACUGCAGGCUGCAACUCGCCUGCACGAAGCUGGAAUCGCUAGUAAUCGCGGAUCAGCACGCCGCGGUGAAUACGUUCCCGGGCCUUGUACACA